UACGAAGGGGGCUAGCGUUGCUCGGGAUCACUGGGCGUAAAGCGCACGUAGGCGGCUUUCUAAGUAAGGGGUGAAAUCCUGGAGCUCAACUCCAGAACUGCCUUUGAUACUGGAGAGCUUGAGUCCGGAAGAGGUGAGUGGAACUCCGAGUGUAGAGGUGAAAUUCGUAGAUAUUCGGAAGAACACCAGUGGCGAAGGCGGCUCACUGGUCCGGUACUGACGCUGAGGUGCGAAAGCGUGGGGAGCAAACAGG
rnacentral:rRNA from 1 species